rnacentral:rRNA from 1 species
CGUGUAGGCGGUCGGUCAAGUCUGAUGUGAAAGCCCGGGGCUCAGCUCCGGAAGUGCAUUGGAAACUAGCCGACUGGAGCGCGAUAGAGGAGGGUGGAAUUCCUGGUGUAGCGGUGAAAUGCGUAGAUAUCAGGAGGAACACCGGCGGCGAAGGCGGCCCUCUGGAUCGUUGCUGACGCUGAGACGCGACAGCGUGGGGAGCAAACAGGAUUAGAUACCCUGGUAGUCCACGCCGUAAACUAUGGGUACUAGGUGUUCGGGGUGUUGACCCCCUGAGUGCCGCAGCUAACGCAUUAAGUACCCCGCCUGGGGACUACGGCCGACAAGGUUAAA